rnacentral:rRNA from 1 species
ACUCAAAUGAAUUGACGGGUCCCCGCACAAGCAGCGGAGCGUGUGGUUUAAUUCGAUGCAACGCGAAGAACCUUACCUGGGUUUGACAUGUAUUCGCAAGCCUCCGAAAAGAGGCCCUCUUCGGACGGAUACACAGAUGUUGCAUGGCUGUCGUCAGCUCGUGUCGUGAGAUGUUGGGUUAAGUCCCUCAACGAGCGCAACCCUUAUUUCUAGUUGCAAAUCUAGAGAGACUGCCGGAAACAAACCGGAGGAAGGCGGGGAUGACGUCAAGUCAGCAUGACUCUUACAUCCAGGGCUACACACACGCUACAAUGGAGGGUACAGCGAGAAGCCAACCCGCGAGGGUGAGCAGACCUCUAAAAGCCUUCCCCAGUUCAGAUUGCACUCUGAAACCCGAGUGCAUGAAGUCGGAGUUGCUAGUAACCGCGUGUCAGCAUAGCGCGGUGAAUAUGUUCCCGGGGAUUGUACACACCGCCCGU